UAGUGGCAGACGGGUGAGUAAUGCAUAGGAAUCUACCUAGUAGUAUGGGAUAGCCACUAGAAAUGGUGGGUAAUACUGUAUAAUCCCUGCGGGGGAAAGAUUUAUCGCUAUUAGAUGAGCCUAUGUUAGAUUAGCUAGUUGGUAGGGUAAAGGCCUACCAAGGCAGUGAUCUAUAGCUGGUCUGAGAGGAUGAUCAGCCACACUGGAACUGAGAUACGGUCCAGACUCCUACGGGAGGCAGCAGUGGGGAAUAUUGGACAAUGGGCGCAAGCCUGAUCCAGCUAUGCCGCGUGAGUGAGGAAGGCCUUAGGGUUGUAAAACUCUUUCAGUAGGGAAGAUAAUGA
rnacentral:rRNA from 1 species